rnacentral:misc_RNA from 1 species
GAUGAAGAACGCAGCGAAAUGCGAUAAGUAAUGUGAAUUGCAGAAUUCAGUGAAUCAUCGAAUCUUUGAACGCACAUUGUGCCCCCUGGUAUUCCGGGGGGCAUGCCUGUUCGAGCGUCAUUUCACCACUCAAGCCUCGCUUGGUAUUGGGCAACGCGGUCCGCCGCGUGCCUCAAAUCGACCGGCUGGGUCUUCUGUCCCCUAAGCGUUGUGGAAACUUUCGCUAAAGGGUGUUCGGGAGGCUACGCCGUAAAACAACCCCAUUUCUAAGGUUGACCUCGGAUCAGGUAGGGAUACCCGCUGAACUUAAGCAUAUCAAUAAGCGGAGGA